rnacentral:rRNA from 1 species
AGAGUUUGAUCAUGGCUCAGAAUCAACGCUGGCGGCGUGCCUAACACAUGCAAGUCGAACGCGAAAGCCCCGCAAGGGGUAAGUAGAGUGGCAAACGGGUGAGUAACACGUGGGUGACCUGCCUUCGAGUGGGGGAUAACGUCCCGAAAGGGACGCUAAUACCGCAUGACAUCCUGCCUUUGGAGAGGCGGAGAUCAAAGCCGGGGAUCGCAAGACCUGGCGCUUGAAGAGGGGCCCGCGCCUGAUUAGCUAGUUGGUGGGGUAACGGCUCACCAAGGCGACGAUCAGUAUCCGGCCUGAGAGGGCGGACGGACACACUGGGACUGAGACACGGCCCAGACUCCUACGGGAGGCAGCAGUGGGGAAUUGUUCGCAAUGGGCGCAAGCCUGACGACGCAACGCCGCGUGGAGGACGAAGAUCUUCGGGUCGUAAACUCCUGUCGAGCGGGACGAACACCCAUCCGGUGAACAACCGGGAGGGCUGACGGUACCGCUAAAGGAAGCCCCGGCUAACUCCGUGCCAGCAGCGGCGGUAAUAC